rnacentral:rRNA from 1 species
CCUACGGGUGGCAGCAGUGAGGAAUAUUGGUCAAUGGUCUUGAGACUGAACCAGCCAAGCCGCGUGAGGGAUGAAGGUACAGAGUAUCGUAAACCUCUUUUGUCAGGGAACAAAGGCGGGUACGCGUCCCCGGAUGAGUGUACCUGAAGAAAAAGCAUCGGCUAACUCCGUGCCAGCAGCCGCGGUAAUACGGAGGAUGCGAGCGUUAUUCGGAUUUCUUGGGUUUAAAGGGUGCGCAGGCGGUCUGUUAAGUCAGCGGUAAAAGCCCGGGGCUCAACCCCGGCCCGCCGUUGAAACUGGCAGUCUUGAGUGGGCGAGAAGUAUGCGGAAUGCGUGGUGUAGCGGUGAAAUGCAUAGAUAUCGCGCAGAAUUCCGAUUGCGAAGGCAGCAUGCCGGCUCCACACUGACGCUGAGGCACGAAAGCGUGGGUAUCGAACAGGAUUAGAUACCCUUGUAGUC